rnacentral:lncRNA from 1 species
UUUUCAUUUUCUCCCAUGUAACGAUCUUACUCUUCCCCUCACGUUCUCUUUGUUUCUUCAUAUUUUCCUACCAAAAAGAUGCAUUACGUUUGAGUUUAAGAGCUACAAGUUUGACUUUCUUUUGUUCUGGUGGUUCAUGAAAAUCGAAAAUUCUUUCUACUGUAUUAAGCCAAUCGAUAAAGUCAUCAAUAUUUAUUUUACCUUCAAAUUCUAUAAUAUCAAAUCUGGGGUUAUAUUUAUUUUGCCACUCGUCUUGGACUCCAUUUCUUCUCCGACAUCUUCUCGACUCCCUUGGAAGAGGAGGUGUAUCAUCAUUAGAAG